rnacentral:rRNA from 1 species
AUGGCUACGCCGUGUGGGUGGGUUAUCUCCAUGGCCAUCAGUGGCUUGGGUUUCCUGGUGCUUACUUGGACCACUGUUGUACUUCUUGGUGGUUUCGUGUCUGAGCUACAUAAGGAGGACUUUUGGUGUGCGGCGUUCAUCACCCUUGUACAAACAGCUGGGAUUUUUGAUGUUACUCUGAAUGAGAAACUAGGCUAUAUGGAGGAUGCGCUCCUUGGGUUCUUGGCGGCCAUUUCGUUUGGCAUUGUACCCUAUGAUGCGCCUAGCAAGAGUUGCACCCAAGAUUUGUUGUCUUUUCUUCUCUUUUUCUCGGUAAUUCUUUUAGUGUUGGUUCAAGUAAUGGUGUUGGCCUUAAUAUUAAGCCCUUUGGCAAUUAUAUAUGUGCUUGGGAUAUUCAUGUCCGGGGUGAUCUCAUUGUGGCGUCUGGUAGAGCACGAUCACGGGGGCAACUCAGAUGAAAAAGCAUCAAACCUAGCACCAGCAAUGCAGAUCUUGUACUGCCUUGCUCUGCUCCAGGGCGUGCUCUUCUGCUAUAGGUUUUUGUUGACUCUCACGGAGAAGAAGUUUUCUAAGACUCUGGUCACCGAAGACUCGGAAGUUCAAGCAGUACUUUACAACUACUUGCGUAAAACAAGGAGAGGAUGUGAGAAGGACCCGACAUUUACCCAAGGAAGGAACCUCGUCACAUAUGCUGUAGACAAGAUUGGUUCCAAUUCACCUGUUGACAGCAUUUCCGGGGUAAAGAUCCUAUACGCAGCCGUAUGCAUGGUGGAGAGCAAGAAUGAUUGGUCCAAUGUCCAUGGGCAGCGCAUGCUGAUAAAACAUCUUGUCUUGUCUACAUCAUCCUCUCGGAAUGUACUGCCGAAACUGCUAGAGAUGCUAGAUUCAAGAGGCCUACAUGACAGAAGGGGUAGAAUUCAAGCCGCGAUGAUAGUGGAGCGACUUGCAUUCUACAUUAAUUUGGAGCAGUUUCCUCGGAGUAUUCAACACAUAUCUUCCUUGAUCGGGACGUUUGAACAAUAUAGUAUAGCCGAGCCAUAUCCCAGAUCCAAGGAUGGAUACGAGCAGCAUCUGAAACUGCAGGUUACUCGUGGGCGUCCCUCACCAGCCGGCGAACUUGGGAAGGCCUACAAGGAGUUGUUGCUACAAGGCCUGUCUAUCCUCCGGAACCUUGCCGCCGACGAAAACAAUUGCAGAAUCAUGAGCAACACCCGAGAUCUGGUCUCCAAGAUCAUGGCACCUGUCACUUGUGACCUACUCGACCACACCACCGAUGAUCAUGGUACGUGGUGCGAAGUAGUAGGCCGAUCGAUGGAAGUGAUGAGCCAUUUAAGCGGUGCUCAAGGAGAAACCGGGUCCAAGCUACGCCGUGAAAUCUCAAGCUGCGGAGAAGCAAUCAGAACUCUCCGGAGGAUUCUUAGCUGUAAAAAGUGCAAAGAAGAGUUGCGGCAAAGAGCCAUUUGGAUUCUCACGCGAUUGUACACGGAUACUACUGGAAUCAGCGGAUCAUUUGAUUUUCAUCUUCUCAAAAAAGAAAAUAGUUGUUGCGGAGAAGACUUUGUUAGGAUGCUAGUCAACAUCUUCACUCAGGAUAAUGAGUAUAGCAGCUCCAUCAGAGGAUACGCGGGAGAAGCGCUGUCAAAUAUAUGUUUCCUUGGCGGAAUUAGUGAUGCCACGAUUAUCAUACAAACAAGUGGUGAUGUUAUUGAUAGUCUCACUCAAGUACUUUUACAUGAAGAAAACGAGACGUGCAGACAAGCAUCGGCUGAAAUUCUUGAGUGUCUAUGUACCCAUUACACCAAGGAUGAUGAAUACCUUCACAAACUUAAGAAAGCAAUCCUCAAGGUGAUUGGAAAAAUACUUUGUUGUGGAGACGGAACACAUAAUGGAGAAGACAUAGAGAGCCAAUGUGAUGGCACACAAGAAAACAAUGAGCCGAACAAGGAUGCCCAGGGAUUCCAAGUAAACACACUCUCAACUAUGUCACCGAACUUGCUUUCAUCAUUGUUAUGCCUUUGCGGGACGGUCUACAACACGUCGUCGGUCAUUGAUUUGCGUCCUCAGCUGGAUGCAUCUAGCUUUCUAAAUAAUCUGAGGGACAUGGUAGUGAAAAGAAGUGGCCCCACCGUCGAAAACCUGUCAGUGUGCAAGGCGGCCGGUAAUAUGGUCAUUUCAAUGCUGAAAUACUAG